CCUACGGGACGCAGCAGUGAGGAAUAUUGGUCAAUGGUCGGGAGACUGAACCAGCCAAGCCGCGUGAGGGAUGAAGGUACAGAGUAUCGUAAACCUCUUUUGUCAGGGAACAAAGGCGGGGACGCGUCCCCGGAUGAGUGUACCUGAAGAAAAAGCAUCGGCUAACUCCGUGCCAGCAGCCGCGGUAAUACGGAGGAUGCGAGCGUUAUCCGGAUUUACUGGGUGUAAAGGGAGCGUAGACGGCGGAGCAAGUCAGAAGUGAAAACCCGGGGCUCAACCCUGGGAGUGCUUUUGAAAAUGUUUGG
rnacentral:rRNA from 1 species